ensembl:lncRNA
AUGAAGGAACGGAGGGGUAGACUACGGAACUUAACCACCCUUCGUCAAAGGGGGCGUGAGGUGGGUGAUCUGGCUCAAGCGUUUUGGACUAUGGCGGUAGGGCGGGGGUAUAACGAUGAGGCACUAAAGGAUUUGUUUAAUGACUGCCUGGAUGACCCUUUGCCUCGGUGGGAGAUGAAGGGGCUGGAGAUCCUAGACUUUUGGGGGUUUACCCAUUACCUGCGCCAUCGUGCUCAAUGGGAUACUUCGACCACACCUGUGUCUCCAGAGAAGAUGGCCGCCAGCCCAGCGCCACAGCACAAGAUGGCCGCCAGCCCAGCGCCACAGCACAAGAUGGCCGCCAGCCCAGCGCCACAGCACAAGAUGGCCGCCAGCCCAGCGCCACAGCACAAGAUGGCCGCCAGCCCAGCGCCACAGCCCAAGAUGGCCGCGGAGACAUUAUUAAGUUACUUUUCCAGGAUGUGCCAGAUCCUUCCCAGGAGUACUCACAUCACGGCCGCUGAGCCAGCGCCAAUGCCCAAGAUGGCCACCAGUUCAGCACCACAGCACAAGAUGGCCGCCAGCCCAGCGCCAUUGCACAGGAUGGCCGCCAGCUCAGCGUGCCCAGCGCCACAGCACAAGAUGGCCGCCAGCCCAGCACCACAGCACAAGAUGGUUGACUCAACGCCUGAGUCUUCCGUCAAGGAGCCACCGGCACGCCAUCAUAGAGGCCGCAGGAGGAGGAGACAGGCGUCAGCCGUUCCUCAAAGCCCGGAGGACGUUCCCGAGCAGGCCGCUGCCGUCCAGGAGGACGUUCCCGAGCAGGCCGCUGCCGUCCAGGAGGACGUUCCCGAGCAGGCCGCUGCCAUCCAGGAGGACGUGCCCAAGGUUCCCGAGGCGGUGCCUGAUGCCGAAGCGGUGCCCGAUGCGGUUCCCGAUGCCGAGGCGGUGCCCGAUGCCGUUCCGGAGGUCGAGGCGGUACUCGAUGCCGAGGCAGUGACCGAUGCUGUUCCGGAGGCCGAGGCGGGGCCCGAUGCUGUUCCGGAGGCCGAGGCGGGGCCCGAGAUGGUGCCGGAGGCCGAGGCGGUGUCCGAGGCGGUGCCCGAGAUGGUUCCGGAGGCCGAGGCGGUGUCCGAUGCGCAGGCCGAGGCGAUGUCCAGGGCCGUUCCCGAGGCGGUGUCCUUGUCCCAUGCCGUUCCUGAGGCCGCUCCCAGGGCGGUGCCCGAGGUCGUGCCCGAGGUCGUUCCCGAGGCGGUGCCCGAGUCCAAGGCCGUUCCCGAGGCGGUGUCCAAUGCCGUGACCUGGCCAUCGCCACAGUCUGCUCCUCACUGGCUCCCCGAAUGGCAGGUUCCGUUCGGGCCACUCAAAUGGUGAAUUCCUCCCUGGCCGUCUGCACAACGAGAAUGGACUGAUCCACCGUGGCCACCUGAACUGCCUGGCCCCUCGUGGUCCCCUGAACUUUCGGGUCCACCGUGGCCACCUGAACUGCCUGGUCCCUCGUGGUCCCCUGAACUUUCGGGUCCACCAUGGCCCCCUGAUCUGACCGAGCCACCUGGGCUGCCAGGGGAGCCAUCGCUGCCGGUCCCAGUUCCCCUACACGGGCCUGGCCCGCCAUCCCUCCCCCUGUUCUGCCUCCACCAGUCCACCUCCCUCCUGGUCUCUUUGUUUUGUGUUUGUUUUGUUCUGAGGAGCAUCUGGAAGCUGCUCCUUAGAGGGGGGGUAGUGUCACGGUGUCUGGUUUGUGUAUCCCUGGGUGUCCACUAGAGGUCUCACUUCCCCUUAGCGUCACCCCACCUCAGAACUACAUUUCCCUUAGUCUUGUUUGUUUCAUCACUGCUCAUUGCACUCAGCUGUCCCUGGUCAUUAAUCAUUGCACUCAGCCAAUUCCCCGUUAGUAUUGUAAUCACCUGUCUAUAAAUACCUGGUUUGUUUCUGUCUUUGUUACGGAGUCCUUGUUUAAAGUCACCCUGCUGUUUCGUGUUUCCUUGCUUUGUUUGUGUUUCUUGUUUUGGACUGAUUACCUGGAUUUUGACCGUUGCCUGGCUAGAGUUAUGAUUUCUGGAUUACCCAUUAAACACUGCAUUUGGAUCUACCUCUUUGUGUGCGUUUCGUGACACUCAUAGGCUUCACACUUAUCCUGCUUGAAUUCGUUCUAAGAAACGCACAUCUUCAUAAGGACUAAACUUUCAUCUGUGAAUAUUAAAUAUUUUAACUAGCCUAAAGUGUUUCUGUCUUUCUGCAUUACAAAUAACAUUUCAUUUCACAUAUUAGAAAUAUUUUUCAUGUGGGCAAGCU